rnacentral:rRNA from 1 species
GAUGAACGCUGGCGGCGUGCUUAACACAUGCAAGUCGAACGAAGCACUUUAUUUGAUUUCCUUCGGGACUGAUUAUUUUGUGACUGAGUGGCGGACGGGUGAGUAACGCGUGGGUAACCUGCCUUGUACAGGGGGAUAACAGUUGGAAACGGCUGCUAAUACCGCAUAAGCGCACAGCAUCGCAUGAUGCAGUGUGGAAAACUCCGGUGGUAUAAGAUGGACCCGCGUUGGAUUAGCUAGUUGGUGAGGUAACGGCCCACCAAGGCGACGAUCCAUAGCCGACCUGAGAGGGUGACCGGCCACAUUGGGACUGAGACACGGCCCAAACUCCUACGGGAGGCAGCAGUGGGGAAUAUUGCACAAUGGGCGAAAGCCUGAUGCAGCGACGCCGCGUGAGCGAAGAAGUAUUUCGGUUUGUAAAGCUCUAUCAGCAGGGAAGAUAAUGACGGUACCUGACUAAGAAGCUCCGGCUAAAUACGUG